CGGACCUUUGGCUAAGAUCAAGUGUAGUAUUUGU
rnacentral:snRNA from 1 species